CAGUCGCCGCGGUAAUACGUAGGUGGCAAGCGUUGUCCGGAAUUAUUGGGCGUAAAGGGCUCGCAGGCGGUUUCUUAAGUCUGAUGUGAAAGCCCCCGGCUCAACCGGGGAGGGUUAUUGGAAACUGGGAAGCUUGAGUGCAGAAGAGGAGAGUGGAAUUCCACGUGUAGCGGUGAAAUGCGUAGAGAUGUGGAGGAACACCAGUGGCGAAGGCGACUCUCUGGUCUGUAACUGACGCUGAGGAGCGAAAGCGUGGGGAGCGAACAGGAUUAGAUACCCCGGUAGUCCCUGUCUCUUAUAA
rnacentral:rRNA from 1 species